rnacentral:rRNA from 1 species
UACGGAGGGUGCGAGCGUUGUCCGGAAUCACUGGGCGUAAAGGGCGCGUAGGCGGCCCGGUAAGUAGGGGGUGAAAUCUUGCGGCUCAACCGCAAGGCUGCCUUCUAAACUGCCAGGCUCGAGCACAGUAGAGGCAGGUGGAAUUCCCGGUGUAGCGGUGGAAUGCGUAGAGAUCGGGAAGAACAUCGGUGGCGAAGGCGGCCUGCUGGGCUGUUGCUGACGCUGAGGCGCGACAGCGUGGGGAGCAAACAGG